rnacentral:misc_RNA from 1 species
GAUGAAGAACGCAGCGAAAUGCGAUACUUGGUGUGAAUUGCAGAAUCCCGUGAACCAUCGAGUCUUUGAACGCAAGUUGCGCCCGAAGCCACUAGGCCGAGGGCACGCCUGCCUGGGCGUCACACGCCGUCGCCCCCCCAUCUACUCCUUCGGGAUUGCGGGGGGGCGGAUGAUGGCCUCCCGUGCGCCUAGCCGCGCGGUUGGCAUAAAUACCAAGUCCUCGGCGACGCACGCCACGACAAUCGGUGGUUGCGAAACCUCGGUUGCCCGUCGUGUGCGUUCGUCGCGCAUCGAGGGCUCGAAAAAAUGCUCGGCUCCGGCUGGGCUUUCAACGCGACCCCAGGUCAGGCGGGGUUACCCGCUGAAUUUAAGCAUAUCAAUAAGCGGAGGA